CAGGCUACUCUGAUAUUUUCUACUCCCACUUUACAGUCUUCAACGUCGCUUUUAUGUAUCCGAGACCAAAAUAACGCGAGACGAGACUGUCGGUUCAGGUCGUGUGUGGUUUAAAAUAAUAUAAUAACAAAACACUUAUCGUGCGGUUUAGCGCCUUUUUGUUCUGUAUUUCUUAUCAUCUCUGUCGUUUUCUGUUCCUUAGAUAUCAGAUCUCUGUUUGAUAAUAAAGAACUCAGGAAAAUCGAUCAACCUGUUGCUAAUGGAUCAGACCUACCGGUGUUUCACGUUUCUGCGGAACGGUCGCAGCCUUCUCUUGGCGAAGGCAGUGUUGAAUCUAACAAAGUCUUGACGUAAAAUCUCAUAUUCUGAACUGAGGCAUCCAGAAAGAGUAAGCAGCUGAGCAGGAUGUAGGAGGACAGCUUGGAAACGUUUAUAGUCUGUAGUGUCUCGAGGCUGGGAAAGUACAGUGCACAAUGAACAUUAGUAUUGCGGCAGUUGGACAGUCUGCGGUCAAGCAUCAGUGAGACCAGAAAUAUCAUUUUACAAUCUCCCAACUCAAAGUGAGAAGUGAAAAGUGGCAAAUCAAAAAUGGAAAAUGAUGAGUGAAAAUUGAAAAUUUUCUCUGACAUACACACUUAUCGUUACACAUUUUGUGUGCUGUUUUAACCAGUGUGUGCGGCGACAGUGUGGUUUGUCAUUUAUAAUGACCACUGAAGCAUUUUCCGAAAAAGUAUUUCCAAGGGCAAUCAAUUUGUGGGAUAAAGUGUAUUUUGCAAAUUUUUUUCGAGUGUCAUGGCGAUAAAGUCGUCCGAAGAAAGGGACCAGGAAUGUCCUAAGGUAACGACAAAAUACCGUCAUCGUCGGGUCGUCGUUCCACUUCCUGGUUCCAUGUUAGCCAACAAAGAACGCAAAAGAGGCAGAAUGAGAAGCUGACUACGGAGAACUUUGCCAACUCAGAAAAUUCUCUCGAUGCGAGAUUUGAAUUAUCUCCACGUCACCGGAAGAGCGAAUUCGGACAACAUACCUUUUUUCAAAGUGAGCUGACUACCAAAGUUUAUGUAUGAGGAAGCAUAAGAGUUGAAUUUUAUUUUCAACGAAAUGUACCGAACGAUUGGUGGAAAGAGACUAUUAAAUUUGUAUACUGUCAUUGAAUGUACCUUUCUAAAGAAAAAAAGUUUCUCCUUACAAACAAA